rnacentral:rRNA from 1 species
GACGAACGCUGGCGGCGUGCUUAACACAUGCAAGUCGAACGGAAAGGCCCUGCUUUUGUGGGGUGCUCGAGUGGCGAACGGGUGAGUAACACGUGAGUAACCUGCCCUUGACUUUGGGAUAACUUCAGGAAACUGGGGCUAAUACCGGAUAGGAGCUCCUGCUGCAUGGUGGGGGUUGGAAAGUUUCGGCGGUUGGGGAUGGACUCGCGGCUUAUCAGCUUGUUGGUGGGGUAGUGGCUUACCAAGGCUUUGACGGGUAGCCGGCCUGAGAGGGUGACCGGCCACAUUGGGACUGAGAUACGGCCCAGACUCCUACGGGAGGCAGCAGUGGGGAAUAUUGCACAAUGGGCGGAAGCCUGAUGCAGCAACGCCGCGUGCGGGAUGACGGCCUUCGGGUUGUAAACCGCUUUCGCCUGUGACGAAGCGUGAGUGACGGUAAUGGGUAAAGAAGCACCGGCUAACUACGUGCCAGCGGCCGCGGUGAUACGUAGGGUGCGAGCGUUGUCCGGAUUUAUUGGGCGUAAAGGGCUCGUAGGUGGUUGAUCGCGUCGGAAGUGUAAUCUUGGGGCUUAACCCUGAGCGUGCUUUCGAUACGGGUUGACUUGAGGAAGGUAGGGGAGAAUGGAAUUCCUGGUGGAGCGGUGGAAUGCGCAGAUAUCAGGAGGAACACCAGUGGCGAAGGCGGUUCUCUGGGCCUUUCCUGACGCUGAGGAGCGAAAGCGUGGGGAGCGAACAGGCUUAGAUACCCUGGUAGUCCACGCUGUAAACGGUGGGUACUAGGUGUGGGGUCCAUUCCACGGGUUCCGUGCCGUAGCUAACGCUUUAAGUACCCCGCCUGGGGAGUACGGCCGCAAGGCUAAAACUCAAAGGAAUUGACGGGGCCCCGCACAAGCGGCGGAGCAUGCGGAUUAAUUCGAUGCAACGCGUAGAACCUUACCUGGGUUUGACAUGGAUCGGGAGUGCUCAGAGAUGGGUGUGCCUCUUUUGGGGUCGGUUCACAGGUGGUGCAUGGCUGUCGUCAGCUCGUGUCGUGAGAUGUUGGGUUAAGUCCCGCAACGAGCGCAACCCUUGUUCACUGUUGCCAGCACGUUAUGGUGGGGACUCAGUGGAGACCGCCGGGGUCAACUCGGAGGAGGGUGGGGAUGACGUCAAGUCAUCAUGCCCCUUAUGUCCAGGGCUUCACGCAUGCUACAAUGGCUGGUACAGAGAGUGGCGAGCCUGUGAGGGUGAGCGAAUCUCGGAAAGCCGGUCUCAGUUCGGAUUGGGGUCUGCAACUCGACCUCAUGAAGUCGGAGUCGCUAGUAAUCGCAGAUCAGCAACGCUGCGGUGAAUACGUUCCCGGG